CCUACGGGAGGCAGCAGUAGGGAAUAUUGCUCAAUGGGGGAAACCCUGAAGCAGCAACGCCGCGUGGAGGAUGAAGGUUUUCGGAUUGUAAACUCCUUUUGUUAGAGAAGAUAAUGACGGUAUCUAACGAAUAAGCACCGGCUAACUCCGUGCCAGCAGCCGCGGUAAUACGGAGGGUGCAAGCGUUACUCGGAAACACUGGGCGUAAAGAGCGCGUAGGCGGGAUAGCAAGUCAGAUGUGAAAUCCUAGGGCUUAACCAUAGAACUGCAUUUGACACUGUUAUUCUAGAGUAUGGGAGAGGUAGGUGGAAUUCUUGGUGUAGGGGUAAAAUCCGUAGAGAUCAAGAGGAAUACUCAUUGCGAAGGCGACCUGCUAGAACAUAACUGACGCUGAUGCGCGAAAGCGUGGGGAGCAAACAGGAUUAGAUACCCCUGUAGUC
rnacentral:rRNA from 1 species